rnacentral:tRNA from 1 species
GCCACUAUAGUAUAAUGACAGUAUAAGUCGCUGGUAAUGACUUGGUUUAGGUUAAAUUCCUAAUAGUGGCUCCA